GUAAAAAAAAAAUGACUAAUACAUUUACAAAAAUUACUACAUAAUAAUUUUAAAGUAUUAAUAGUUCAGUAAACACUUAUUUUAUUUUAUUUUAUUUUACUAUUUUUGGCUGCCCCCUGGCAUAUGGAGUUCCUGGGCCAAGGAUCAGAUCCAAGCAGAAGUUUCCGCCUAAACUGCAGGGGCAGCAAUACCAGAUCCUUAACCCACUCUACUGGGCCAGGGAUCAAACCUGUGUCCCAGUGCUCCCAAGAUGCUGCUGAUCUCAUUUCACCACAGUGGGAACCCCAUACCAUGCUUAAUUUUUUUUCCUGACUUUUCAGCAGAACAAUUUGAACAGAUAGUAAAGUUGUUGCCCUUUUCAAGUAGAUUUAAUGAGCAGAGAAAAAGAUAAAUAUGUUUUAGAGGGAAAAAAAGACCAGGAUUUGUUUUGUUUUGUUUUAAGGAAUGAUAUCAACAUGCCAUUUAUUUUUUAUCUUUCUGAACUAAAACUACAGCUGAAAGUAUUCUAGGAUAAGCUUUAGCUUAACAUCAACUAGCUGUAUUCAGCGAUUCAGUCUAUUCCCAGAGGAGCUUCUAUGGGAGCUUCUAAUACAGCAGGAAAUUUUUUAAAUGUGUGCACCAAACCUUUCACAGUAAAGAGACUAUACAGAUGCUCUAUGAAUGUGUCAAAUAGUUCCAUCAUGUUCAGUGCCACAGUGGGAAUCUAUAUGCCCAGUGCCAUGGGAAGUGGGACCUGCAAGUUAUAUUCAUUCAGUCUUCUUUUAAUAAGUGGAAAGCCCUGGCUUUUUUGGUAAAAUCACUCCCAUCUUAAAUUCCUUCUUUUUUUUUUUUCUUUUUUUUUGGCUUUUUAGGGGUCUAAUCAGAACUGUAGCUGCCAGCCUAAGCCACAGCCACAGCAACGGGGGAUCCAAGCUGUGUCUGCAACCUAUCCCACAGCAAUGCUGGAUCCUUAACCCACUGAGCAAGGCCAAGGAUCAAACCCACGUCCUCAUGGAUACUAGUCAGGUUCUUUAACCGCUGAACCAUGACAGGAACUCCUUUAAAUUUCUUCUUGAGUACCUUCAGGUAAUCUCUAAGAGCCUCCCUGACCUUGGCAGUAUGUGCAGUUUCCAUAAGAUCCUUCAGUGUAUACCCAUCUCCUUUAUUUUUAUUCAUGUUUGACUUAAUGUCUACUCAGUUUUUUGGAAGGAUUGAGUAUUUCAAUCAAUCAUUUGUGCUUUGCAGUCGAUUCUUUAAUUAAACCUUUCCAGCCCAGUUUGAUGUUCCACUUAUAGAGUAAAAUCUGCUUUCCUUUGCAGCUGCUGC
rnacentral:lncRNA from 1 species